rfam:Strigamia maritima strain Brora ctg7180001223775, whole genome shotgun sequence.
ACCCAAGUAGCUUAAUGGUAAAGCACCCAACCAGCAAUUGGGGGAUUUGGGUUCAAGUCCCGGCUCGGGCU